rnacentral:tRNA from 1 species
GCCCGGGUGGUGAAAUUGGUAGACACAAGGGAUUUAAAAUCCCUCGAGGGUUUCCUCGUGCCGGUUCAAGUCCGGCCCCGGGCACCA